GUAGGGAAUCUUCCGCAAUGGGCGAAAGCCUGACGGAGCAACGCCGCGUGAGUGAUGAAGGUUUUCGGAUCGUAAAGCUCUGUUGCCAGGGAAGAACGUCUUGUAGAGUAACUGCUACAAGAGUGACGGUACCUGAGAAGAAAGCCCCGGCUAACUACGUGCCAGCAGCCGCGGUAAUACGUAGGGGGCAAGCGUUGUCCGGAAUUAUUGGGCGUAAAGCGCGCGCAGGCGGCCGUUUAAGUCCGGUGUUUAAUCCCGAAGCUCAACUUCGGGUCGCACUGGAAACUGGAGGGCUUGAGUGCAGAAGAGGAGAGUGGAAUUCCACGUGUAGCGGUGAAAUGCGUAGAGAUGUGGAGGAACACCAGUGGCGAAGGCGACUCUCUGGGCUGUAACUGACGCUGAGGCGCGAAAGCGUGGGGAGCAAACAGGAUUAGAAACCCCAGUAGUCC
rnacentral:rRNA from 1 species